rnacentral:rRNA from 1 species
UACGAAGGGGGCUAGCGUUGCUCGGAAUCACUGGGCGUAAAGCGCACGUAGGCGGACUUUUAAGUCAGGGGUGAAAUCCCGGGGCUCAACCUCGGAACUGCCUUUGAUACUGAUGGUCUCGAGUCCGAUAGAGGUGAGUGGAAUUCCUAGUGUAGAGGUGAAAUUCGUAGAUAUUAGGAAGAACACCAGUGGCGAAAGCGGCUCACUGGAUCGGUACUGACGCUGAGGUGCGAAAGCGUGGGGAGCAAACAGG